rnacentral:rRNA from 1 species
AUACGGAGGGUGCGAGCGUUAUUCGGAAUUACUGGGCGUAAAGCGCGUGUAGGCGGGGGGACAAGUCUGAUGUGAAAGCCCUGGGCUUAACCUGGGAAGUGCAUUGGAAACUGUUUUUCUUGAGUACUGGAGAGGAAGGGGGAAUUCCCGGUGUAGAGGUGAAAUUCGUAGAGAUCGGGAGGAAUACCAGUGGCGUAGGCGCCCUUCUGGACGGUAACUGACGCUGAGACGCGAAAGCGUGGGGAGCAAACAGGAUUAGAUACCCUGGUAGUCCACGCUGUAAACGAUGAUCACUAGGUGUAGCGGGUACUCAUUCCUGCUGUGCCGCAGCUAACGCGUUAAGUGAUCCGCCUGGGGAUUACGGUCGCAAGACUAAA